rnacentral:rRNA from 1 species
UACGGAGGGGGCUAGCGUUGUUCGGAUUUAUUGGGUUUAAAGGGUGCGUAGGCGGUCCUGUAAGUCAGUGGUGAAAUACGGCAGCUCAACUGUCGAGGUGCCAUUGAUACUGCGGGACUUGAGUACAGACGAGGUAGGCGGAAUUGACGGUGUAGCGGUGAAAUGCUUAGAUAUCGUCAAGAACACCGAUAGCGAAGGCAGCUUACUAGACUGUAACUGACGCUGAGGCACGAAGGUGCGGGGAUCAAACAGG